UGUGUGCCUCCGCCCUAUAGUGGGUCAGCCUAAGCGGACGCGGCGGCUUCGGCCCCCGUCCCGGGAAGGGAGCCGUGGGGCCGGGCCCGCCUCAUCCUGGCGGAGCGGACUCGCGCGGGAGCGACGUUAGGGGUCUGGCGCAGGGUGGCAGCCGGCGCCGAAGCAGGGACGCUGAGCCCGCAGAGCCGAGCCGCCGGAGGCAGAGGUUUGGCCUGGCUUCCCGGCCCGGGCCCCGCUUUGUGCCUUCGUGCUUUGCACUCGGGAGGACAACGUCUAGGCCUGAUGCUCCGGCGGUCCCACCCCGGGCCACGCUUAAAAACUCCUCCCUCAGCCGUCACGCACGGGCUUCUGGGAGGUGGCGGCCCGUGUCGCCGAGGACCUGUCGCCGCCGUCCUUAGGGCUCAAGUUGGGAGAGCCGUCGGAAGUUCGCACAUUUGACAGGGAGGAACUUUUCUCCUGCUCUCUGCCCCUGGCUCGCCGCUCCUGUUCAGUCCUCAAGUUUCGGCUCCUGCAUCGCUUUCUCAGGAGACUCUACUUUGACAACGCGUGUCCCUGCCCAGUCUCACCCCAGCCCCCGAGAAAAACAAGAAAAGAUGUCUGAAUAUAUUCGGGUAACCGAAGAUGAGAAUGACGAGCCCAUUGAAAUACCAUCAGAAGACGAUGGGACAGUGUUGCUGUCCACGGUUACAGCCCAGUUUCCAGGGGCGUGUGGGCUGCGCUACAGGAAUCCAGUGUCCCAGUGUAUGAGAGGUGUCCGCCUGGUAGAAGGAAUUCUGCAUGCCCCUGAUGCUGGCUGGGGCAAUCUGGUAUAUGUUGUCAACUAUCCCAAAGAUAACAAAAGAAAAAUGGAUGAAACAGAUGCCUCAUCAGCAGUGAAAGUGAAAAGAGCAGUCCAGAAAACAUCUGAUUUAAUAGUGUUGGGUCUCCCAUGGAAGACGACUGAACAGGAUCUAAAAGAAUAUUUUAGCACCUUUGGAGAGGUUCUUAUGGUUCAGGUCAAGAAAGAUAUUAAAACUGGUCAUUCAAAAGGAUUUGGCUUUGUUCGUUUUACGGAAUAUGAAACCCAGGUUAAAGUAAUGUCACAGCGACAUAUGAUAGAUGGACGAUGGUGUGACUGUAAACUUCCAAAUUCUAAGCAAAGCCCAGAUGAGCCUUUGAGAAGCAGAAAGGUGUUUGUUGGGCGCUGUACAGAGGACAUGACUGCUGAUGAGCUGCAGCAGUUCUUUUGCCAGUACGGAGAAGUGGUAGAUGUCUUCAUUCCCAAACCAUUCAGGGCUUUUGCCUUUGUUACAUUUGCAGAUGAUCAGGUCGCCCAGUCUCUUUGUGGAGAGGACUUGAUCAUUAAAGGAAUCAGCGUACAUAUAUCCAAUGCUGAACCUAAACACAAUAGCAAUAGACAGUUAGAAAGAAGUGGAAGAUUUGGUGGUAAUCCAGGUGGCUUUGGGAAUCAGGGUGGCUUUGGUAACAGUAGAGGGGGUGGAGCUGGUUUGGGGAACAAUCAAGGUAGUAACAUGGGUGGAGGGAUGAACUUUGGUGCUUUCAGCAUCAAUCCAGCGAUGAUGGCUGCAGCCCAGGCGGCUCUGCAGAGCAGCUGGGGUAUGAUGGGCAUGUUAGCCAGUCAGCAGAACCAGUCAGGCCCAUCGGGUAAUAACCAAAGCCAAGGCAACAUGCAAAGAGAGCCAAACCAGGCCUUUGGUUCUGGAAAUAACUCGUAUAGUGGUUCUAAUUCAGGGGCAGCAAUUGGUUGGGGAUCAGCAUCAAAUGCAGGGUCAGGCAGUGGUUUUAAUGGAGGCUUUGGCUCAAGCAUGGAUUCCAAAUCUUCAGGCUGGGGAAUGUAGACGUUGGGUUAUGGUUGGUUGGUAUAGACUGGUGGGAAUUAAAAUUUUUCUAAACUCAUGGUAAGUAUAUUGUAAAAUACAUAUGUACUAAGAAUUUUCAAAAUUGGUUUGUUCGGUGUGGAGUAUAUUCAGCAGUAUUUUUGACAUUUUUCUUUAGAAAAAGGAAGAGCUAAAGGAAUUUUAUAAGUUUUGUUACAUAAAGGGUUGAAAUAUUGAGUGUUUGAAAGUGAACUGCUGUUUGCCUGAUUGGUAAACCAACACACUACAAUUGAUAUCAAAAGGUUUCUCCUGUAAUAUUUUAUCCCUGGACUUGUCAAGUGAAUUCUUUGCAUGUUCAAAAUGGAAACCAUUGAUUAGAACUACAUUCUUUUCUCCUUGUUUUAAUUUGAACCCCACCAUAUGGAUUUUUCCCUUAGGAAAAUCUCCUUUUUGGAGAUCAUGGUGUCACAGUGUUCUUUCGUUUUCGUUUUUGUUUUUUUAACACUUGUCUCCCUUCAUAUACAAAAGUACAAUAUGAAGCCUUCAUUUAAUCUCUGCAGUUCAUCUCAUUUCAAAUGUUUAUGGAAGAAGCACUUCAUUGAAAGUAGUGCUGUAAAUACUCUGCCAUAGGAAUACUUCUGUCUACAUGCUUUCUCAUUCAAGAAUUCGUCAUCACGCUGCACAGGCUGCGUCUUUGACGCCCUGAAUGCAAAGAAUUCAUAGCAGUUAAUUCCCCUUUUUUGACCCUUUUGAGAUGGAACUUUCAUAAAGUUUCUUGGCAGUAGUUUAUUUUGCUUCAAAUAAACUUAUUUGAAAUAUUGUCUCAAGUCAAAUGGAUUCAUCACCUGUCAUGCAUUGACACCUGAUACCCAGACUUAAUUGCUAUUUGUUCUUGCAUUGUCCAAAGUGAAAAGUUUUUGUUUUUGUUUUUUAUUUUUAAAUCUAGUUUUUAAUAAGUCUGGGUGACCGCACCUAAAAUGGUAAGCAGUACCCUCCAGCUUUUUCUUAGUGCCUCUGUGCAUUUGGGUGAUGUUCUAUUUACAUGGCCUGUAUAAAUCUCCAUUGGGAAAUCAUGCCUUCUAAAAAUAUUCUUAUAUGGAGGAGUGGGCAAAACAAUGCUAAUUAUUUCUAAAUGCUUUGUAGCAAAGCCUAUCAAUUGCAGUGAAGGGAAUAUCACAGCCUUUGUAGUUGGGGAUUUGAAAAGUGGAAUUAAUUGCAAUAGGGAUAAAGUAGAAGAAACCACAAAUUAUCUUGUGCCUGAAAUCCAUUAAGAAGCCUGGUAGCUUUAAGAACGAGCAGGGUGGGUUGUCUGUGGAAGUGUUCAAUGGAAUGGGUUUUGUCUUCCAAAGGUGGGGAAAUAGAGUAAUGUUGAAUAAAAUCGCUUACAAAACUCAGAUUAGACUCUCACGAUGCAUUGUUAAGUAUGUAAAAGCAAUAAUAUAUUAAUUCUCUAUUGUACUUUUUAUGUAACUACUGUGAGAGUUGAGCUCAUUUUCUAAUGGAAGAAUGUUGAACAGUUUUUGUGUUGAUAGUUUACCUAAUGCCCUUGUCUAAUUAGAUUAUGAUAAAUAGGUUUUUUGUUCUACAAGUUACGUGCUUUAAAUUUUUAUAAAUGAACUUGUCCUUUAAACUUGUGGUCGCCACAUUGUUUAGUCAGUUUCCUCUGUAACAGGAUCUUACGUUGUUUUAUUUUUUUCUGCAUCUAAAUUGCAUGAUUUCCAAACCCUGUACCAUCUGAAUUUUGCAUUUUAGCACUUGCACUAUUACUCAGCAGCAGUAACAUGGUAACACUUAAAUGGUAUUCGGGGACCUCCAAAGACUAAACUGACACGCCUUCAAGGAGCCCAGGGGUAAGUUAACUUUGUCAAUGGCAUGGUUUUAAUCCUUUAUUUACACUUGUAUAAAUCUAGUUAACAGUCUUGGGAAGGCUUUCAGUGUUGAGUAGCCUUCUAUUAACAUGUUUAUGGUACUACAUGGCUAUGGGUAUUUAAUCCCCCUCCCCCCCCAAAAAAAUUGAAGUUUAGAAGUAAACUAUUUGGCAAAGAUUUGUUUUUAAAGUCUACUUGGUCAUCUAAAUGCAUUCAUUCUAAAAAAAAUUUUUUGAACCAGUUGAAUAAAAAUUUUUGUUGCUACCACAGUUUAGUGUCUGGAGUCUUACUGGAAAAACGCAAUUUCUUUUUUUUAUGUGACAAGAUGCUGGAAAAUUACCUUUUAAAAAUGAGUCUGAAAAAAUUGCACUUUAGCAAUUCCCUGGUGGCACAGCUGGUUGAGGAUCUGGCAUAGUCACUGCUGUGGCUGUGGCACGGUUUCAGCCUCUGGCCCCAGGAACCUCCACGUGCCAUGGAUGCGGCAAAAAAAAAAAAAAAAAUGCAAUUAAUAUGCACAGGAAGUUAGAACUCAAAAUUUUUACAUAUAAUGGUUAAUCUGGCUAGAAUGAAAAACUUUGUUAAAUGUUAGCCAUUAAAACUUUUGAGAGAGGAGUGGACAACUAGAAUGAGAGAUUUUUAAGGUUAAAUCAGAGCUUAAAUAUUCUUAGGAAAAAAGAUGUUAAGUACUACUUAGAAUUCAGAAGAUGUAUGUGAUAAUUAGAAUAAUUUUUUGUUGAAUACUAGGUAAGUCUUUUGAUUGUAUACGUGAGUUCUAUACUCUGCUGUUGUAUGCUCUGUGAUCUAUUAAGUGCGCCCAGCUAUUUAAUUUAGCUCAUGGUAAGAAGGAAAAAAAAACACUACAGAUUUCUAAUACUUUUCAUGUUGUAUUUCAUCUUAUGGAAAUGCCACAUUUGAUUGAAUUGUCGCCUGAAUUUGUACAUUAGGUUAUUUCCAAGUGCUAGGAACAUCCUCACUAAAUUUAAAACUUAGCAUUGGAAUUACCAGUUCAAAGAUGAUGAAUGCUUUUAAGACUUCUGAAAUAUAUUGCCAGGUUGUACUUCAGAGAAAAUUCAUGUUGUCUUCGACAGUGUGAAAUAGAAGCUGUUCAUGUUCUUUUUUGUCUGCUAGUUUGAUACGUGAAAAAUUACAGUAUUGAUUUUAAUGUAGAAAUCAGUCCAUACCCAGCCUAGGCUAAAGUAUCCAAUUUACCUAACCCCAAAAAACCAUGAUUCAGGGUAGUUCCUGAACCAGUACUGCUGUGAUAUGUAACCUCUCAGAGGUCACUAAAUCCAAAAAACAGAAUAAUAGUUAAUAUGAACAGGCAGUUUACAGAAAGGCACAAGGACAAAAAGACACUGGACUUUGUAAGUAAAUACACAUUUAACCAAUGAGCUGCUAUUGGAUUGGUAAAGGUGAAUAUCACCUCACUGGUUUAGGUCCCCUUAAAGAAUAAGCGGUGAAAACCCAGCAAGUUGGAGAAGUACCUGAAAGGCAGUCUCGCCUAUACUUUGGUUUGGUUUUGGAGUGGAAUGGCAGCUGUCAUGUUAAUGUUUUUCAGGUCAGUUUGCUGCUAAGGUCUUUAAAGAUGAUUUUUUAAAACAAGGGAUCAUUUGUUGAUUGGACUUAAAAAUUAUUAAUUAUGUUGUUGAUCCAAGGAAUAUAGUUAAUGACUUUUGUGUAGACCCCAUAUUGACCUGCUUCCCCACAAUUAGUGGAACUCCAGGACACUAUUCCUCCCACAAACCACUUCUGUGUCUCAUCAUCUAGAAACACUAAUGCUCCCCCACUGUCGCCUUUACAGCUGUCCUUGCCCCCACUUUCUAAACCAGCACAGAGCAUGUUAUCAGUUACCCGCACCCCUGGAUCGGACUUCUUUUCAAAGGCAGCAACACAUUUCUGGUGGUCAACAAUGGGCAGGUCAGCAGACAUUAGACUUCUGGCAAGAAAACCCCUUUGGGUUAAUCCCCAUCCAGAUGCAGUCCCAAUGUCAUUUGUCCUCAUGAAGGAUUCGGCUUCUUUUCUUGGCAAACAGAUAGGCAUGACGUUGCUAUUGAUUACAACUUUGUCCUUCAAUUUAAUCAGUGCUAUGUCGUUAUCAUACCCAGCAUUGUGAGUAUAACCUUCAUGUAUAAAAAUGGCCUCGGCCCAGGCCUGUGUAUAAUGAGGUGACAGUCUCUUCAGGACACCCAUCCUAAUGUCUAGGGAGGAGGCAUCUUCUUUUUGUUUAUAUACAGCAUGAGCAGCUGUUAGGAUCCAGUGGUCAGAUACAAGUGCACCUGCUGCCAUAGUUUCACCAAAUAGCAGGACUUGCCAGGGAAAAUCCCCAAGCUUUGCUUUUUGUCCUCCGUAUAUACGACCUUCUGUAGUACGGGUUGAUAGUCCACAAACUGGGGGAAGAAGCAGAUGUAUAGAGCCUUUAUAGAUGUAUAGAGCCUUUUUCUCCAGUUACUACCACUUUGGGGUUGUGUGUAUUUACUGUCAGCUAAAAAUUGUAUCACAUGAGUCGUCCACCUAUACAUACAGGCAAGUGAGGCUGCUUAAAACUGUUUAAAGACCCUAUAAAAACAUUUGCUAUUUCUUAGCUCCUCAGAAAAUGAGGUGUGUGAAAAUUAACUUUUAUAAACUAAUUUGUUUUGCUAAAAUAAUUUGGUCUCACAAUUGGGGAAAUUAUUUUAAUAGGGCAAACAGAAACUGUCUGAGCUGAUGUGCAUAGGAAGUAAAAGGAAAUGACUUUUUCAUUGCUGCUUUUUCCUGCUUGUAAAAUUGGGGGUAUUUACCAUAUAUAUAGUUCUGGGAGGGCAGAAACUAAGGUCAUUGUCAGAAGAUUUGCAAUAUUACUUUCACCUUUGAACAUUUAAAUGUUUUAAAAAUUACAGUGUUGCAGUUGUAGCCAGGAACCUUCAGGUUCAGAAAUUAUUUUCUGUCCAGUUGAUUGUUCCAAACACUAGAAUUUACUAUAUAUGUUGCUAAGUAUACUCAUUAAUGUAGCAAAUAUGUUUCCUGUUGUGGCAGAAUAAAACUUAGACAUGAUAAGCUAAGAUAGAGUUUAAAAAAAAAAAAAAAACUAAGCCAAGUAACACAGGGGUAGUGAAUAUAUUACUACCUUUCUGAUUUUUAAUCACUAACUAUAUUUUAACAGCCAGUUCUGGUAAACAUUUUUUUAAGUACUAUUAAAGGCAAAUUGCAUUAAUGUUUAAAAACUAGAAGUCAUUGAAAACAGUUGCUUAGGGAAAUAAUGAAGUUAUUAGCUUUGGGUUUUAAUAGCAUUUUUAUAGAGAAAAGUAACAGAAGAACUCAUGUUUAUAAGCAUAUAAAUGGUUCAAGAUAAUUUUAAAAAUCAUUUAAUUUUUUAUGCUUGCCUAGUUGUAGGGUCAAAAGUAAUCUCAUGACUGAUGUAGUCAGCACCUCACAGCCUCUCCAUAUGGAAAGGGGAUAAUGAGAACAUGUUAUUUGGAAAUAAGAAGUUGGUCUAAGAGCCAGGUGCCAGUGUUAGGUUUCUGCCUACACAGCUAAGCCUCUAUCUACUUACUGUCUCCCACCCAGUCCUCCUCUCCGUCAGUUACCAACGCCUUGUAUAAAUGUGUCCAUUACCAGGCUCACAGACGGGGAGUGAUUUGUCUCCUUUGGACCUCAUCCAGAAUCCAUCAGCCUCACACACAUAUUUACCUGCAAAUCAUUGAAAAUGCAAAGAUGUUUAACUGCAUGUGAGAGGUGGUUGUCAUCUGCUUGAAAACCCCCUUGAAAAAUGUUGAUUCUUGAGCAUCCGUGGGAAAUAGAGGUGUCUGAAUAACCAUUUUACAUGAUUUCCUAAGUAGGAGGUCUCUGCAUUACCAUGUUUGCUUGCAAAGUGGAAACCUUUUAGAUGUGUAACUUGAAUAUGUAUCAAGAUCUCAAGUGCUUAAUGAUAAGGUUUUGACUUGUUAAAUUAAACCAUUUGGAAUAUA